CCUACGGGAGGCAGCAGUGGGGAAUAUUGGACAAUGGGGGGAACCCUGAUCCAGCGACGCCGCGUGAGUGAAGAAGUAUUUCGGUAUGUAAAGCUCUAUCAGCAGGGAAGAAAGAAAUGACGGUACCUGACUAAGAAGCCCCGGCUAACUACGUGCCAGCAGCCGCGGUAAUACGUAGGGGGCAAGCGUUAUCCGGAUUUACUGGGUGUAAAGGGAGCGUAGACGGCGAUGCAAGUCUGAAGUGAAAGGCGGGGGCCCAACCCCCGGACUGCUUUGGAAACUGUAUGGCUGGAGUGAAGGAGAGGUAAGUGGAAUUCCUAGUGUAGCGGUGAAAUGCGUAGAUAUUAGGAGGAACACCAGUGGCGAAGGCGGCUUACUGGACUGUAACUGACGUUGAGGCUCGAAAGCGUGGGGAGCAAACAGGAUUAGAUACCCCAGUAGUC
rnacentral:rRNA from 1 species